AUACGUAGGGGGCGAGCGUUAUCCGGAUUUACUGGGCGUAAAGGGCGUGUAGGCGGUCUUGCAAGUCAGAAGUGAAAUUCCUGAGCUCAACUCGGGCGCUGCUUCUGAAACUGCAGGACUUGAGUGCUGGAGGGGAUAGCGGAAUUCCCGGUGUAGCGGUGAAAUGCGUAGAGAUCGGGAGGAACACCAGUGGCGAAGGCGGGUAACUGGACUGCAACUGACGCUGAGGCGCGAAAGUGUGGGGAGCAAACAGGAUUAGAUACCCUGGUAGUCCACACUGUAAACGAUGAAUGCUAGGUGUAGGAGGUAUCGACCCCUUCUGUGCCGCAGUAAACACAGUAAGCAUUCCGCCUGGGGAGUACGGUCGCAAGAUUAAAACUUAAAGGAAUUGACGGGG
rnacentral:rRNA from 1 species